UAUAUAAACUUUUUACAAAAAAAUAUCAGCGUUUUAGCGCGGAUCACUAUGUGGUAAAAAUAAUAAUACAGUUCUGAAUCUGGAGAAGUUCAGAGAGUAUCUCCACAAGGUCAUCAGGAAUGUGGAAGUUCCCGAUCCGGUACGUUCUGUAAGUCCAGCUGUCAUCUUCGUUGCUACUGUGGACCUUUUUGAAGGUUUCGAGAUGAUGUGGGGUAGCCAAAGACGUAUCAAUGUGCCUCCGCCGGAAGAUGACGCUAAUCUCUUGACCUUCCUCACAUCUCGAGCUACAAUCGUUCCUGAACACAUUCACAGCGACGAGCUAGUAUCGAUCCUGCGUUAUAUAGAUGGUCCCUAUCUCGAGUCCUUCACAGCAGCCCUCAAGGAGAAAGCUACUACCAAAGAAGCUGAUAAAUCUAUCGGUAGACAACUCUGUGACUACGCCAUCAAGUUCUUUAGCUCAGCCCUUAUGGAUGGCAAUGCCAGCUGCUACUACUUCCCAAACAGUGCCCUUUCCAGUGAUCAGGUGGAAACAGAAAGUGGUAGUAGCGCAAUGUACCCCUCAGACUCAGAUGCUACCUCUCAUGGCUUGGGUUUGGCAGUGGAGGAUGAAGAUGAGUUUGAAGAGGAGGAGGAUGAGAAGGAGCCUGUUCUCAAGGACGAACCGAACUUGGCUGAAGUCAAAGAGGAGCCGCACUUGGUUGAAGUCAAGGAGGAGCUGAAAUUGGUUGAGGUCAAGGAAGAGCUUGUUGAGGUCAAGGAAGAGCCUGUUGAGGUCAAGGAGGAGCCAAAAGACUUGGUUAAAGAGCCCAAUCGUAAGCGUCAUGCUUCAGCAAGCCCAACUUCUUCAUUAGGUUCGACUUAGAAGAAAUACUGUGAUGGCAGAGGAGUACAAGGAUCAAGACGUGGAAGUUUCUCGGGCAAUGACGUUGAAUGUUAUACUUGUUGAUAAAGAUGAUGACAAACGGAAUAAACAUCCUUGAAGCUGUGCAUGAAAACUGUAUUGUCUUCCAUCUUUUGUUUUGUUUUUAUGAUGUGGGGUGUGUGGAGGUUCUCUAGCGUGCUCGCUCGACGUCCCAUGUGAUUGUUAUGUUUGAUUGAAAAUAGGACCUGGAGAACUACGACAAACAAGAGAAUGAUAUGCUGGAUUUUGCUUUUGCAUUAACAGAACUGCAUGUCCUCCUUUCGCAUUAAAUUGUCUCAAUCGGGUUUGGUCGAAAAUGUCGCUAUUGGGAUGUCAAGUCAUUACACAACAAGAGCUAGAUGGUGUCCACUUGCCAUUGCUUCAGCCACUGAAUUUUGCUGUUGAUUGGUUCAUUUCUAAACCUCACUGGACCACUUCAAAGUCUCUCAGAGCAUAUGAUUAUUUAGGUUGUUAAGCUAAACGAGUUUUGGAAUUACACUUUGUUUAUUAUGAGAAAAUCUUAUUACAUUAAAACUAUAGGAGAUAGUAAUUCAGAAGGUGAGAUAUUUCACAGAUUCAUUUCAUCUCUUUAUUUGCAGCAUUCCACUUUUCUUCUUUAGUUUGAUUUAUAAUUCAGAACAAAGCUAAAAGAUAUGGAUAAAACUUAAAAUGGUUAAUUUGAAGCAUAACUAUAUGAGAAGUUAGAGCCAAUAACCAAAACAAACAUGUUAAUUAAGAAAAUGACCCAUGACAAAAAAAAAUAGCGGUGUAUUUAACUAUUUAUACAAUAUUUGCUAUUUACCCUUUAUCAUUUUCCCUUUUUAUUUUAUUUACUUCUAUCACUCCACAAUUAUUCAGAUUUUUAUUUGCUUAUGAAAAACGUAGAUUUUAUUUCUGUCAUGUUUUGAAUUUUUUUUUAAUAAUACAAUAGUGUAAUAAUACAAUUCUAUUUAAGGUGUCAAAUGCAAUAAUGGGCCAUAAGAAAAUAAGUGAAGAAGUCCAUUAUUAUAUAUAUAUAUUUUUUUGGUGUAAAUGUUAAAGAAGCCCAUUAUUGGGAUAAAAAAAAAAAAAAAAAGAAGGGGUAAUAAAUCGUGAGAGAAGAAGAGAAUUGGGGAGAUUGAUUUUAGGGUUUGUGGUGUUGGUUUCUGAGAGAUCCAAAGUGGUGUAGCGAUGCACGUGCCGGUGACUGUGACGGAUUACUCAUUAUCUUCAUUCUACAAGGGUGUAUACGCUGUGGUUGAUGAUUCUUCACUGGAUGCAGUAGUCUCGUGGAGCAAAAACAAGAAAAGUUUCAUCAUUUGGGAUCCGAUAGAGUUUCAGAGAAGGGUUCUGCCGACGGGCAGAGAAAGAAGAAUACGAUCCUUAAAUUUCUCGAUGUUUAUGGCCGACCUUAAGUACUAUGGAUUUAUAAGGGUUAAGGGAUCUAAGCAUCGUUAUCACAUUGGACAUCCGAAAUAUUUUGUGAGAGGUAAACCUGAGCUUAUGAAAAAGAUGCAGGAAGAGGCUCAUGAGAAGAGAAUGCACAAAUUUGAUCAAGACAGGGCUAUGAGAAAGAAAGCCAAAGCUAGAGCGAUGAAGUUAGCGGAUGCCUUGGGUGAUUUAGGUCUUUGAUUUAAUGUUGGUUCGAUUGCGUUUUGAUGAAUCCUUAUAUCCUAAGACCAAUUCUAUUUUGUCUGUUUCAAGAAUGUUUCUCUUGUUGACCAAACACAUGACCCUGUUUCUCCCGGCAGUUUGUAACAGGUCACAUUGUUUACUUAGUGACAUCAAAUUUCUUGCUACAA